AGACGGGUGAGUAACGCGUGAGACAUCUACCUUACAGCCCGGUAUAAAUAUCUAUAUAGAGGCGAAAAUCUUUAUAUAUGAGUGAAUCCCGGAUAUUUUGAAUAAAAAAAAAGGCAAAGAACCGUUGCAAGAUGAGCUCGCGUAGGAUUAGGUAGUUGGUAAGGUAAAAGCUUAUCCAAGCCGAUGAUCCUUAGCUGUUCUGAGAGGAUGAUCAGCCACACUGGGACUGAGACACGGCCCAGACGCUUUCGAGCGGCAGCAGUGAGGAAUUUUGGACAAUGGGCGAAAGCCUGAUCCAGCUAUAUCGCAUGAAUGAAGAAGGCUCAAUUGGUUGUAAAAUUCAUAAUUUCAUUGUAGAUUAUGACAUUGAUGAAAUGAAUAGUCCCGGCCAACUCCGUGC
rnacentral:rRNA from 1 species